GAAUCCGUGCCGUGAUCCAGCGGCAUCGCAGCUCGGGCAAGGAAAGCCGGCUGUCAGGGUUCUGGAAACGUCCUGCCCUGAGGGCCUGCGACUUUCUGUAUGGAGCCUUGGAUCGCGUCCCUGGAAAGGGACACCAAAGAUUUCCAAUUCCGGAGAGCGGGCCCGAGGAAGGGUCACUGCUCGGGCGCACGAAAGCUGUCUAAGGCUUGGGCGUAUAUGGGGAACUCUGGCUUUUGCCACGCACUUUUGGGAAUGGGCAGGAGACCUGCUUCCUCUCUCCAGAGGUUGCAUUUUCCCAAGCUUGAACGCUUCAUGUGCCUACUCUGCAGGACUGAGGAGUUUGCUCUGUGGUGUGAAAACCUAAGGAAUGGGGGGCGGGUGUCUUGCCACUUGUGUGACAGGCUUAACCUUUUUGUAUGAAGUUCGUUUGCCUUAUCGGCCUUACUGUUUGAUAGUUUACUGUGUCUGAUUUCUUCCCCCGUACUUUUUCAACUAGUCUCUAGUGAUCCCUGAAAAGUUCCAGCAUAUUUUGCGAGUACUCAACACCAACAUCGAUGGGCGGCGGAAAAUAGCCUUUGCCAUCACUGCCAUUAAG
rnacentral:lncRNA from 1 species